rnacentral:rRNA from 1 species
AUUGAACGCUGGCGGCAGGCCUAACACAUGCAAGUCGAACGAGUGGCGGACGGGUGAGUAAUGUCUGGGAAACUGCCCGAUGGAUGGGGAUAACUACUGGAAACGGUAGCUAAUACCGCAUAGCAUCGGAUGUGACCAGAUGGGCUUAGCUAGUAGGUGUGGUAACGGCUCACCUAGUCGACGAGCCCUAGCUGGGCUGAGAGGAUGACCAGCCACACUGGAACUGAGACACGGUCCAGACUCCUACGGGAGGCAGCAGUGGGGAAUAUUGCACAAUGGGCGCAAGCCUGAUGCAGCCAUGCCGCGUGUAUGAAGAAGGCCUUCGGGUUGUAAAGUACUUUCAGCGAGGAGGCGUUACUCGCAGAAGAAGCACCGGCUAACUCCGUGCCAGCAGCCGCGGUAAUAC